rnacentral:rRNA from 1 species
GAUGAACGCUGGCGGCGUACCUAAUACAUGCAAGUCGAGCGAAUAGAUUAAGAGCUUGCUCUUAUGAAGUUAGCGGCGGACGGGUGAGUAACACGUGGGUAACCUGCCCAUAAGACUGGGAUAACUCCGGGAAACCGGGGCUAAUACCGGAUAACAUUUUGAACCGCAUGGUUCGACAUUGAAAGGCGGCUUCGGCUGUCACUUAUGGAUGGACCCGCGUCGCAUUAGCUAGUUGGUGAGGUAACGGAUCACCAAGGCAACGAUGCGUAGCCGACCUGAGAGGGUGAUCGGCCACACUGGGACUGAGACACGGCCCAGACUCCUACGGGAGGCAGCAGUAGGGAAUCUUCCGCAAUGGACGAAAGUCUGACGGAGCAACGCUGCGUGAGUGAUGAAGGCUUUCGGGUCGUAAAACUCUGUUGUUAGGGAAGAACAAGUGCUAGUUGAAUAAGCUGGCUCCUUGACGGUACCUAACCAGAAAGCCACGGCUAACUACGUGCCAGCAGCCGCAGUAA